rnacentral:rRNA from 1 species
GAUGAACGCUGGCGGCGUGCCUAAUACAUGCAAGUCGAGCGAACAGACGAGGAUCUUUCUCCUCUGACGUUAGCGGCUGACGUGUGAGUAACACGUUGAUAACCUACCUAUAUUACUUGUAUAACUUCGGGAAACCUGAUCUAAUACCGGAUAAUAUAUUUAACCUCAUUGUUCAUUAGUUAAAUACGGUUUUUCUUUCUCUUUUAGAUGGUUCCGCGCCGCAUUAGCUAGUUGGUAAGGUAACGGCUUACCAAGGCAACGAUGCGUAGCCGAACUGGGAGGGAGAGAGGCAAAACGGGAAGUGAGACACGGACAAGAGGACUAAGGGAGGCAGCAGAAGGGAAUAUGCCGCAAUGGGCGAAAGCAUGACGGAGAAAAGGCGCGUGAGAGAUGAAGGACUAAGGAUAGUAAAAAAAUGUUAGUAGGGAAGAAAAAAUGUGAAAGAAAAUAUGAACGUAUUGACGGUAACAAAAAAGAAAGCAACGGCUAACUACGUG